rnacentral:sRNA from 2 species
CCGGAUUUUGGGGAAGGCUAGCCUAGUGGUAUGUAACAUGUUUAUCAUAUAAAUUUCUAGUUCGCGCAAGGACUUUUAGUUCCAUAUUUUAUCUUUUGACCAAAUCAAUAAUCAUUUCUGUAUCAAAAUACAUUAAACCACACUUUUCCCAUUUCCUCGAGUACACAAAAUGCAAAGGCAAGAAUGGGCGACAAAAAAAGGAUCAUCACACUUGUAACCAAAAAGGCCUUUGUUAAUGGGGAUGUCCAGUCCAAAGCUGUAAAAAAGGUAAUGGCAAAACAUAACGCCGAUGAGAUCUAAGAACCAGAAACACCUUGCUUUUCAAAAAAGAAAAGAAAAGAAAAGAGAAGUAUCAUGGCAAAGGCCUGGAUAAGAUACGAGGGGACGAAUUUAAAUAAAAAAAUGAGAAUGAAAAUGAAAUGGGGCUCCAACGGCCAUAUGAAGCCAAAUAUAUAAAAAUCUAACCAUAAAUCCGAGACGCGAAUGGCACCAAAAAAAAGACACCAGAAUCCUCCAGCCGCCAUGCAAAACUGGCCAUCCCGACGGAUGGCUCAUUGUUUUUGUGAAAUCCUGUCCGUUAUAGGCAUCAAAAAGACAUAUUAAGGAACUGCGAAAGAGAUUUUUUUAACAAGUGAAAAAAACUUCAAUCGGUGCAACAAAACUAGAUCGAAUAUACAACCUGUUCAAGAUUGUUCCCGUUCAGAUCAUAUUCAUUCUCUUCAUGGGCAUCCCAGUUGACCUCCUCCCAGGGCUCAUUCAUUAGCAAACCCCCUUCAAGCUGGCCGGGGAGAUUGACCCAGUCCGGCGGGAUCCAGCUAUCAUCGUUCGAUCCGCUCAUGUUCACAUCAACCUCAUCGUCCCUGGAGCUAUCAGUAUCCUUGGGCGUGUGCGUAUUCGCGCUGGUAUCUGUAGACUGUGGUGUAUCUUUCUCUCGAAUAUUCGUAAAGACAUCUGAGAUCAAUACUUCUUCAAGAGGAUCAGACUCAAGCCCAGGGAAUGAUCCCCAAUCACUAAAACC